rnacentral:rRNA from 1 species
AGAUUGAACGCUGGCGGCAUACUUAACACAUGCAAGUCGAACGGCAGCACAGCCAAGCUUGCUUGGUGGGUGGCGAGUGGCGGACGGGUGAGGAAUACGUCGGAAUCUGCCCUGUUGUGGGGGAUAACGUAGGGAAACUUACGCUAAUACCGCAUAAGACGGUGACGUGAAAGCGGGGGCUCCGUAAGGACCUCGCGCGAUGGGAUGAGCCGACGUCGGAUUAGCUUGUUGGUGGGGUAAAGGCCUACCAAGGCGACGAUCCGUAGCUGGUCUGAGAGGAUGAUCAGCCACACUGGGACUGAGACACGGCCCAGACUCCUACGGGAGCAGCAGUGGGGAAUAGUUGGACAAGUGGGCGACAAGCCUGAUCCAGCAAGUGCCGCGUGGUGUAGAAGAACGGUCCGUUUCGGUUAGUAAACGCUACUUUUA